GACGAACGCUGGCGGCGUGCUUAACACAUGCAAGUCGAACGGAAAGGCCUGCUUUCCCUUGUGGAUUGCGGGUACUCGAGUGGCGAACGGGUGAGUAACACGUGAGUGAUCUGCCCCCAACUUGGGUAUAAGCCUGGAAACUGGGUCUAAUUCCCGAUAGGACUGCAGGGUGGUGCCUGUGGUGGAAAACGAUUUUCUAGUGGUUGGGGAUGAGCUCGCGGCCUAUCAGCUUGUUGGUGGGGUAAUGGCCUACCAAGGCGGCGACGGGUAGCCGGCCUGAGAGGGUGGACGGCCACAUUGGGACUGAGAUACGGCCCAGACUCCUACGGGAGGCAGCAGUGGGGAAUAUUGCACAAUGGGCGGAAGCCUGAUGCAGCGACGCCGCGUGGGGGAUGACGGCCUUCGGGUUGUAAACUCCUUUCGACCGCGAGGAAGCCACCUGGUUGGAAGGGUGGUGACGGUAGUGGUAGAAGAAGCACCGGCUAACUACGUG
rnacentral:rRNA from 1 species